rnacentral:rRNA from 1 species
AGAACGAACGCUGGCGGCAUGCCUAACACAUGCAAGUCGAACGCUCUCUUCGGAGGGAGUGGCGCACGGGUGAGUAACGCGUGGGAACCUGCCUUGGAGUGGGGGAUAACCGAUGGAAACGUCGGCUAAAUACCGCAUACGUCCUGAGGGAGAAAGAUUUAUCGC